GACGAACGCUGGCGGCGUGCUUAACACAUGCAAGUCGAACGGUAAGGCCCUUCGGGGUACACGAGUGGCGAACGGGUGAGUAACACGUGGGUGAUCUGCCCUGCACUUCGGGAUAAGCCUGGGAAACUGGGUCUAAUACCGGAUAGGACCACUGCCUGCAUGGGUGGUGGUGGAAAGCUUUUGCGGUGUGGGAUGGGCCCGCGGCCUAUCAGCUUGUUGGGGGGGUGAUGGCCUACCAAGGCGACGACGGGUAGCCGGCCUGAGAGGGUGACCGGCCACACUGGGACUGGGAUACGACCCAGACUCCUACGGGAGGCAGCAGUGGGGAAUAUUGCACAAUGGGCGCAAGCCUGAUACAGCGACGCCGCGUGAGGGAUGACGGCCUUCGGGUUGUAAACCUCUUUCAGCACCGACGAAGCGCAAGUGACGGUAGGUGCAGAAGAAGGACCGGUCAACUACGUGCCAGCCGCCGCCGUAA
rnacentral:rRNA from 1 species